rnacentral:lncRNA from 1 species
GCCAAUCUCCCUGCCUGCUAUUUUUGAUAGAAGCACAGGACAUUGCCCAUGCAGAACGCAAAAGAGGCAUGCAGUACAAACAUGGAAAAUAGCUAUUUUAGACUUCAGACAAGUUAAAACUAAGACCUAUUCAGCAUGAGACGUAGCUGUUCAGAUUCAUCCCUCUGACAGGAAAAAAAGAAAAGGUUACCUCAUUUCAUUGCUCCAAAUUGCUUCUGGAGUGUCAAAUUCCCCAAGGAAUAUCUCUGAAAAUUUUUCUGGCUCAUAAUUUUCCAAGUAACACACCAUUGCUUCAGGAAGAACAUGUCCAAGUAUACUUCUUUGAACUAUAUCUUGACUUUUAGUUUCUUCAGACUUGAAGGCUUGCUUUGUAUGUGCAUAUUUCAGAAACCUUGCAAUAGGAAGUACAUUGGAACCCGUGUACAUCAU